rnacentral:lncRNA from 1 species
AUAGGGAUAGGGAUAGGUACUUAUCCCCUUCUUUAUACCCAAACGCUAAUUUUUUACCCGAGAAUAGUAGUUUUCGGUUAUCCCCACCAACACCUCCAUUUUCUAUAUAAAACUUUUUAGUAUUUUUCUUAUCCUCGGGAACAACCAAAUUUUCAUCCAAACGCUAUUUUUUUUAUCCCCAUACUUGUAUCUAUCCCUGUAAUAGCUAGUUCUUGCUUAUACCCGAACCAAACGGUGCCGUAGUGUUUUCUCUCUCUUUUUUGUACUAUGUUUUUCCAAUUAAGUUAUAAUGAUUGAAAGCGAAGGGAUAAUGGCUUAUGGCUAUGCCUAUUUGACACAUUUUCCAUAGUCUUUGAUGGGGGUUAGAAGGGGGGGGGGACAUUUUUUUCGAAGGGUGGAAUUUGUUAACUCCAUUCUUAACAUAUUAUUCCGGAAUAACCGGUUAGGGUGGGGUUAACAAACCGCAACUUGCCUUUCGGAAAUUGGGGUGGGAUAAACUAAUUUCACCCCAAUUUAAUUUCUAAAUUUAAAUUUAUAUUUUAAAUUUUAAUUUUAAGAAUUUGUAAUCUUAAUUAAUAUUUAUAAUUUUAAAUUAUAGCAAUUAAAUUAUUAUUUUAAUUUUUUAAAAUUUAAAAUUUGAUAUUUGAUAUUUUUAAAUUUAAAUUUAAUCUUAAAUUUAAAAUUUAGAACUUUAAAUUUUUGAAAUUUAAAAUUUUAUUUUAAUUUUUUUUAUUUUUAAAGUUAAAAUAUUUUAAUUUAAAAUUUUAAAUAUAAAUAUUAAAAAAUUUAAAUUCAAAUAUAAAGGACAUUAUCAUUAUUUUUUAUUUAUAACUGCCCAGUAUUCUUUUUAUUCCAUAUUAUCUAUCCAAAUGCUAUUUUUUUUUUAUUUCUGUGAACAGCUCAAUUUUCAUUCAAACGUAAAAUUGUUCUAUUCUAGGCUUACACAUGAAUUUAUAUAUAUUCCUGGAAUAACUAGUUCUUACUUAACUCCGAACCAAACGAAGCCUUCAGGAUUUAAAAUAGUUCUAUAUACGAGAUAUAAUAUAACUAAAUUUUUUAACCCGAUUAUAAUAUUUUGGACGGUGGUUAGGAUAUAAUUGUUUAGGCCUGCGUUUUUAAUAAGUAUAUGUUAAUUUUCUGUAUGUAUAACAACACUCUAAUUUGGAAAGAGAUAUCUCGAUCCUUUUCUUGCAGAGGUCUAGUAAUUUUUAAAACUCUUUGAUCGCUUGAUAAAUAAUUUUGAAAAAUUAUAGAAUUUAAUUUUCAGAUGGUUCUAAUCAUAAAGAUCAUAUGUAAAAGAGCCGAUAAUU